UAUAUUGAGUUUAUUAGAUUACGGCGGAAGUGACGCAACAGCGCACAGUAUGGCACCAGCUUCCCGCCGUAACUCAGGCAGAGCUACCAGGGAAGUCACAGGUUAUUCUGAGACCGAAAAGCCCCGUGACUUCACCUAUCCCUCCCGCCAUACUGUGUUGCAGGUAAU